AGAGUUUGAUCCUGGCUCAGAAUGAACGCUGGCGGCGUGCUUAACACAUGCAAGUCGAACGAGAAAGGUGGUGCUUGCAUCGCCGAGUAUAGUGGCGCACGGGUGAGUAACAUGUGGAUAAUCUACCUUUGAAUCUGGAAUAACUAUUCGAAAGGGUAGCUAAUACCGGAUAAGGUCUUUUGAUCUUUGGGUUAAGAGAUGAAAGGGAGCUUUUAGGAGCCUCUGUUUGAAGAUGAGUCCGCAUACCAUUAGCUAGUUGGUGGGGUAAAGGCCUACCAAGGCGAUGAUGGUUAGCUGGUCUGAGAGGAUGAUCAGCCACACUGGAACUGACACACGGUCCAGACUCCUACGGGAGGCAGCAGUGAGGAAUUUUGCGCAAUGGGCGAAAGCCUGACGCAGCAACGCCGCGUGAGUGAAGAAGGCCCUUGGGUCGUAAAGCUCUGUCAAUGGGGAAGAAGUUAAUGUGUAUAAAUAGUGCAUGUUAUUGACGGUACCCAUGAAGGAAGCACCGGCUAACUCCGUGCCAGCAGCCGCGGUAAUACGGGGGGUGCAAGCGUUAUUCGGAAUUAUUGGGCGUAAAGGGCGCGUAGGCGGUUCUAUAAGUCAGCUGUGAAAGCCCUGGGCUUAACCCAGGAAGUGCAUUUGAAACUAUAGAACUUGAGUACGGUAGAGGAAAGCGGAAUUCCUGGUGUAGAGGUGAAAUUCGUAGAUAUCAGGAGGAACACCGGUGGCGAAGGCGGCUUUCUGGACCUGUACUGACGCUGAGGCGCGAAGGCGUGGGUAGCGAACGGGAUUAGAUACCCUGGUAGUCG
rnacentral:rRNA from 1 species